rnacentral:rRNA from 1 species
GAUGAACGCUAGCGGCAGGCCUAACACAUGCAAGUCGAGGGGCAGCACAGGUAGCAAUACUGGGUGGCGACCGGCGGAUGGAUGCGUAACGCGUAUGCAACCUACCAUUGAUUGGGGCAUAGCCCGAAGAAAUUCGGAUUAAUACUCCAUAAUAUUCAUCAAAGGCAUCUUUUAUGAAUUAAAGCUUUUGCGAUCAAUGAUGGGCAUGCGUGACAUUAGUUAGUUGGUGAGGUAACGGCUCACCAAAACGAUGAUGUCUAGGGGUUCUGAGAGGAUUAUCCCCCACACUGGUACUGAGACACGGACCAGACUCCUACGGGAGGCAGCAGUGAGGAAUAUUGGUCAAUGGACGCAAGUCUGAACCAGCCAUGCCGCGUGCAGGAUGACGGCCCUAUGGGUUGUAAACUGCUUUUCCACGGGAAAACCCUCGACGUGUCGGAGACUGACGGUACCGUGGGAAUAAGCAUCGGCUAACUCCGUG